CUGUGGCACUUGAUUGCCCUGGUGGUGUUUACCUCACAAAUGCUGCCUAAUUCAGGCCAGAGGGAAGGCAGAGCCAGUGAAAAGAGCUCCACGGGCUAGAAGAGGGUGGACCCAGGAAGAGAUGGCCUCCCCCUGUCCCUGACUCAACUGGAGCUCAGUUCACUCUGCUUUGAAGGAGUAGGAGGAGAACACUACUCACAAAAAGGAGGGCAAGAACCGGCUUGUUCACCAUUGUAUUCCUGCACCACAGCAUAAGCACUCAAUCAUUAUGGGUUAAAGGCUGAAAUUCAAAAAGAGAAAGGGAGAUGUUAGACACCUACUGACCAAGGAGGUGCCCUCCAUUCUGCUUAACCACCGCCCAGGCCAGUCAUUUCUCUCCCUGGAAGACUUUGAGUCAUGCACGCGCAAGGAAAAUUAGAGACAGGGUUUCACCAUGUUGGUCUCAAACUCCUGACCUCAAGUGAUCCACCUGCCUCAGCCUCCCAAAGUGCUGGGAUUACAGACGUGAGCCACUGCCACACAGCCGAAUAAAGGACAAGAGUAGCAAAGAGGAUUAUGAGCAGUGCAAUACAAAACAAGGCUGCAACAAAAG
rnacentral:lncRNA from 1 species